rnacentral:rRNA from 1 species
GACGUAGGUGGCGAACGUUAUCCGGAAUUAUUGGGCGUAAAGGGUGCGUAGGUGGGUCUGUAAGUCAGUGGUGAAAUCUCCAAGCUUAACUUGGAACUGCCGUUGAUACUAUAGACCUUGAAUGCUGUGGAGGUGAGCGGAAUAUGUCAUGUAGCGGUGAAAUGCUUAGAUAUGACAUAGAACACCAAUUGCGAAGGCAGCUCACUACCCAGAUAUUGACACUGAGGCACGAAAGCGUGGGGAUCAAACAGG